AGUUAUAAAGCUUUAACAGCAAAGCAUGUGUUUUGAAAGCACAAGUAAGGAGUUAAAACCUCCUAAUAACUU
rnacentral:tRNA from 1 species